GCUUGUUCAUAAAAAUGCUUUCUUAUACUGAUUAUCUCCAUGCUCACUCACGUGGCUUCUCUCAAAUAUAAUUCUAGAAGAAUCAUCUUUUUGUCUCUUUUGUUCCAAGGAUGGAAAAACAUAGCCACUCUUUCGAUUACUCUGAACUCUGAAGUACUUUUUGCGAGUUCUCUUCAUAUUUCAGAUUUAUUCUUCAAAAAGAAAACAGAUUUGUGCCCUUCUCUCGGUUAGCUUCGCCGAUGUAGCGUGUAAGUUUGUCAUUUUUUUUCCUCUUUGUUUAUUUCAUUGUUCCGGUUAUAAUUUUUUUUUAUUUUUAGUGGUUAUUCGUAACAACUAUUUAGAUUGGUCAUUUAUAUGGAACAAUUUUUUUUUGUGACAGCUCAAAGUGUUGGAUAAGAUUUGUUCUCAAAAAUUCUCCAUUUGUGUUUAUUAUCUUUUUAAAUAUUUUUUAAUGAGCAAUUGCUCUUUUAAUUCUAUAUGGCUUCACUUAUGUUAAACAAAAUUGUUUCGGCAAUUCCGAAAUUGAGGAAAUUUAGUUCUUGAAGAGUGAAAAUUUCUUUUUUAUUUUAAAUUAUGAAAGUUUAUGUGGAUUGAUUUACGUAAAAGAAGAGUAUUCUGGCAGCUUUGGUGGUGGGAAGAUUCAGUUCUUUAAAAAUAAAAUGUUUAUCUAGCUUCUGCUCUUAGUUGUCCGCGUGCACAUUGGUUGCUAUGUUUGACUGUAUAUAAUUUUACUGUUGUCUUUAGCUUAGCUGUAUUUGACUACAUAUAGUAGAAUCAAGGAGUUUCUUUUCUAUAGUACUGGAUGUUGUCAAAUUCGAACUUCAUAUCCAGAUGAGAGAGAAAAGGAAUUUUUGUUUCUGGUUUGACAUUCAGAGCAUAACAUCGAAUAAACGAAUGAAGUCGCGAAUGACUUAUGCUUGGUUGCACACACUGAAUGAUUAUAAUCUUCGAUAAUAUAUGUGUAUUAACCAUGGUGUAUCCAUAAUUUUUAAGUCUGUUGUUGAAAAAAGUGAUGCAUUUUUCUCCUGCUGUUGUUUUAUUCAGAUCUAAAGAAGUCUCGAAUUCUAAAGUUUAAUGUUAAGGGAGAGAGAUAUCUCGAGAAUUCCUUUGCCUGGGAGGAGUUUUAUUUAUAACUUGUGAGUUUCAUCUAUUUUAUUAUCCAUUACUUUAAAAACACUUGAUUACUGAUUAGCAACUUUGGUAUGCAAUUCUGUAAUUUCAACUGAUUUUAAAUUAAUUUUUUUAUUUCUCUAAUAACACACUUGUCCUUCACAUUCCUCCAUCUAGAAUUCUCUAUAGCUCAGUCCUCUAACUAGCUUUCUUUCACGAUUACUUUGUUAAUUGUCUACCAUUACUAAUGAGUUCUAUCAGCAAUCAUCUACUAUUAGUAUUAGACCUUUCUUGCUAACCUUUCCUGUUCCUUCAUAUCCUUCUUUAGGAUUUGCAUUUCCUUAUCUCUAAUCAGAUUUCAAACACAGUUCUGUAUUUACAAUUUGGGAUUGUGUGCUACUGCUUGCUGAAUAUGUGUACUAAUUAAAAAUACAUCAUGCAAGAUGGAACACUCUUGAGCUUUCGAACUGCUGAAUGAGAUAUUGAGGUAUACCACUUUAAUUGUUAUUCUUUUGAAGGAUUUAUAUGGUUUUUAUUUUCUUAUUUAUUUGUCAUCAUUAAUCAGUUAAAGGUCGAUUCUGUACUAAUUUUGAGGUAUAACCCCUUUGAAGUAUUACAUUUUUUAAGUUGCAAACAUGCGAAAUUUAAUAAUUGCUAAUCUAAAUUUGAUGUAUAAACCUCUUUUAGAUUUUUGUUUGCAUUGCCAACUACUUUGCACAUUGAUUCCACAUCUAUGCUCUUAGAGUCAUGAUCUCCCUUCACCAAAUUCUUUGUUUUUCAUUGUUUCUCUUUUGAUUCUUCUUCCAGACCUCCUCUUGUAUGAGGUUUGAAGUUUAUCCCAUGAUCCGAAACGGAAGCUUUUUCACUUUUACUUUCUCUAUUUUAUUAUUUCAACUAUUAAAAUAUUUUCAGGAGUUACAUAAUAUGCUUGAUUGGUUGUCAACGUGGCUAAAGAUAUCUGCUUCCCAUUACAGUGAUUGAGUUUAGUAAUAUAUCUGUAAACUUCUUUCUUCUCCAUUUGAAAUUAUUGAAAGUAGAUAAUAAUUAGCAUGUGUACUGCUGUAACUUCAACUUAGUGGGAUCACUUCUGUGAGUAAAGUGCUUCUCUAGCUCACGUUAUAAGUACCACUUCUCUCUUGAUAUCUUGAUUAUUGAAGUUUAUCACCCUGAGAAAUCUUUUCUGUCUUAGGUUAUAAGUACAACUUUUCUUGUUUGAUAGAUCUCCUUAGUUCUCAAGUUAUCAUCUUCUAGAACCUUUUGAAGUUGUAAAUUGUAGUCUUAUAGACAUACUUUGCUAUUACCAA